rnacentral:lncRNA from 1 species
UCUGAUCUUGAGCGGAUGAGUUAGAACCAGGCUCGAAAUGCUUUGGAUAUGCCGGAGCAAGGCCUGAGAGGCCCCCAAAACCAUGGAUAUAAGGAGAUCUAAAAGGACACCAUCAAGGUCAGACCUCAAAACUUCGAACCCCAAAUGUUUAAUAGUGGAAGGAGGUGAGUACAUGCCAUCCAUAGAUUGAGAAGUCAUGAUUCCGGUGAGAGGGCGGCUAAAGAUGGUAGAAGAUUACUAGGAUUUCAGGAACCUUCGACAGAUUUUGAGAGGAGAGGGAUUUC